rnacentral:rRNA from 1 species
CAGUCGCCGCGGUAAUACGUAGGUGGCAAGCGUUGUCCGGAAUUAUUGGGCGUAAAGCGCGCGCAGGUGGUUUAAUAAGUCUGAUGUGAAAGCCCACGGCUCAACCGUGGAGGGUCAUUGGAAACUGUUAAACUUGAGUGCAGGAGAGAAAAGUGGAAUUCCUAGUGUAGCGGUGAAAUGCGUAGAGAUUAGGAGGAACACCAGUGGCGAAGGCGGCUUUUUGGCCUGUAACUGACACUGAGGCGCGAAAGCGUGGGGAGCAAACAGGAUUAGAUACCCGGGUAGUCCCUGUCUCUUAUAC